rnacentral:rRNA from 1 species
CCAGACUCCUACGGGAGGCAGCAGUGAGGAAUAUUGGUCAAUGGCCGCAGGGCUGAACCAGCCAAGUCGCGUGAGGGAUGACGGCCCUACGGGUUGUAAACCUCUUUUGUCGGGGAGCAAAUUCCGCCACGUGUGGCGGAGUCGAGAGUACCCGAAGAAAAAGCAUCGGCUAACUCCGUGCCAGCAGCCGCGGUAAUACGGAGGAUGCGAGCGUUAUCCGGAUUUAUUGGGUUUAAAGGGUGCGCAGGCGGCGAGUUAAGUCAGGGGUAAAAUUUGGGGGCUCAACCCAGACAAGCCGUUGAAACUGGCUUGCUAGAGUGGGCGAGAAGUAUGCGGAAUGCGUGGUGUAGCGGUGAAAUGCAUAGAUAUCACGCAGAACUCCGAUUGCGAAGGCAGCAUACCGGCGCCCAACUGACGCUCAGGCACGAAAGCGUGGGUAUCGAACAGGAUUAGAUACCCCAGUAA